CGGUACGGCGAGGCCGUAACACACUGCAAGUCGAGCGGCAGCGGAAAGUAGCUUGCUACUUGUCGGCGAGCGGCGGACGGGUGGAGUAAUAGUCUGGGAAACGUGCCUGAUGAGGGGGAGUAACGUAACUGGAAACGGUAAGCUAAUACCGCAUGACCUCGAAGAGCAAAGUGGGGAGUCUUCGGACCUCACGCCAUCGGAUGUGCCCAGAUGGGAUUAGCUAGUAGGUGAGGUAAUGGCUCACCUAGGCGACGAUCCCUAGCUGGUCUGAGAGGGAUGACCAGCCACACUGGAACUGAGACACGGUCCAGACUCCUACGGGAGGCAGCAGUGGGGAAUAUUGCACAAUGGGCGCAAGCCUGAUGCAGCCAUGCCGCGUGUGUGAAGAAGGCCUUAGGGUUGUAAAGCACUUUCAGCGAGGAGGAAGGCACCAUACUUAAUACGUGUGGUGAUUGACGUUACUCGCAGAAGAAGCACCGGCUAACUCCGUG
rnacentral:rRNA from 1 species